UACGAAGGGGGGCUAGCGUUGCUCGGAAUCACUGGGCGUAAAAGGGCGCGUAGGCGGCCAUUUAAGUCGGGGGUGAAAGCCUGUGGCUCAACCACAGAAUUGCCUUCGAUACUGGAUGGCUUGAGUUCGGUAGAGGUUGGUGGAACUGCGAGUGUAGAGGUGAAAUUCGUAGAUAUUCGCAAGAACACCGGUGGCGAAGGCGGCCAACUGGACCGACACUGACGCUGAGGCGCGAAAGCGUGGGGAGCAAACAGG
rnacentral:rRNA from 1 species